rnacentral:rRNA from 1 species
AUACGUAGGGGACAAGCGUUGUCCGGAAUGACUGGGCGUAAAGGGCGCGUAGGCGGUCUAUUAAGUCUGAUGUGAAAGGUACCGGCUCAACCGGUGAAGUGCAUUGGAAACUGGUAGACUUGAGUAUUGGAGAGGCAAGUGGAAUUCCUAGUGUAGCGGUGAAAUGCGUAGAUAUUAGGAGGAACAACAGUGGCGAAGGCGGCUUGCUGGAGAACUACUGACGCUGAGGUGCGAAAGCGUGGGGAGCGAACUGGAUUAGAUACCCAGGAAGCCCUCGCCGUAAACGAUGAAUGCUAGGUGUUGGGGAAACUCAGUGCCGCAGUUAACACAAUAAGCAUUCCGCCUGGGGAGUACGACCGCAAGGUUGAAACUCAAAUGAAUCAACGGGG